AUCCCAUGUUUAAUCUUCAGAAGGUGUGUGAGGAAUAACAUGUUUGCUUUUGAAAGAUGCCUUGUAGACUGUGCGCAGUGGCUCAUGCCUGUAAUCCCAGCACUUUGGGAGGCUGAGGAGAGCGGAUCACCUGAGGUCAGGAGUUUGAAACCAGCCUGGUCAACAUGGUGAAACGCCAUCUCUAUUAAAAAUACAAAACUUAGCCAGGCGUUGUGGCGGGCACCUGUAAUCCCAGCUACUAAGGAGGCUGAGGUAGAAGAAUUGCUUGAACCUGGGAGGCAGAGGCUGCAGUGAGCUGAGAUCAUGCCACUGCACUCCAGCCUGGGCAACAGAGCAAGACUCCAUCUCAAAAAAAAAAAAAAAGAUGCCUUGUCUUCAAGCAAACUAUUAUUAAGGAUGAGUUGCUUAUUUGUAUUAAAAAGAGGGCUGGAGGAUAGCUUGAGCCCAGGAGUUCAAAACCUGCCUGGGCAAUAUAGUGAGACCCCAUUCUCAAAAAAAAAAAAAAAAGAAAGAAAAGGUGGGGAUCACUGAAUUUUCUAUUGCAUUAACCAAGAAUCUUAAAAGUCAUAUUUUUAAAGAUUAUUGAAGAUUUAAAAUGUGUCUUGUUUUUUUUUUUUUCAUUUUGUUUUAUUUUAUUUGAGACAGGGUCUCAUGAUGUUGCCCAGGCUGGUUUUACUCCUGGGCUCAAACUGUCUUCCUGCCUCAUCCUCCCAAUUAGCUGGGAUUUCAAGUGCAUGCCAACCCACACAGCCUUUUCUUUUUCAUUUUCCUUUCUUUUUUUUUUUUGAGGCAGGAUCUUGCUGUGUUGCCCAGGCUGGAGUGCAGUGGUGCAAUCGCACUUCAUUGCAGCCUGGACCUCCUGAGCUCAAGUGAGCCUCCCACCUCAGCCUCUUAAGAAGCUGGGACUGCAGACACAUGCCAGCAAUACACCUGGCUAAUAUUUUAAUUUAAUUUUUUCUAGAGACAGGGUCUCACAAUGUUGCCCAGACUGGUCUCGAACUCCUGGAUCAAGCAGUUUGCCCACCUCAGCCUCCCAAAAUGUUGCAAUUACAGGCUUGAGCCUUUUUAUUAUUUAUUUAUUUAUUUAUUUAUUUAUUUAUUUAUUUAUUUUGAGAUGGAGUCUUGCUCUUUGUUGCCCAGGGUGGAGUACAAUGGCGCGACCUUGGCUAACUGCAACCUCCACCUCUCGGGUUCAAGCGAUUCUCCUGCCUCAGCCUCCUCAGCAGCUGGGACUACAGGUGCGUGCCACCACACCCGGCUAAUUUUUUGUAUUUUUUUGUAGAGACGGGGUUUCACCGUGUUAGCCAAGAUGGUCUCAAUCUCCUGACCUCGUGAUCUGCCCGCCUCGGACUCCCAAAAUGCUGGGAUUACAGGCGUGAGCCACCGUGCCCGGCCUGAGCCUUUUUAUUUUUAAAAGUGGCUUUCCAUUUUCUUUCUGUGGCAAUUUCAAGAGGCAUGGUGUGUUAUUAUCCCUGAGCUUUCUUGGGUAUUAAAAAAAGGCCAUGGGACUGGGCGCGGUGGCUCACGCCUGUAAUCCCAGCACUUUGGGAGGCUGAGGUGGGCGGACCACCUGAGGUCAGGAGUUCAAGACCAGUUUGACCAACAUGGUGAAACCCUAUCUCUACUAAAAUACAAAAAAAUUAGCCGCGCGUAGUGACAGGUGCCUGUAGUCUCAGCUACUUGGGAGGCUGAGGCGGGAGAAUUGCUUGAAACCAGGAGGCAGAGGUUGCAGUGAGCCAAGAUUGCGCCAUUGCACUUCAGCCUGGGCAACAAGAGACUCUGUCUCACAUAAAAAAAAAAAAAAAAAGAGGCCAUGGGGCUGGGCGCAGUGGCUCACACCUGUAAUGCCAACACUUUGGAAGGCCAGGGUGGGAGGAUCACUUGAGCCUAGGAGUUCCAGGCUGCAGUGAGCUAUGGUCAUGCCAUUGUACUCCAACAUGGGUGACAGAGUGAGACCUUGUCUCAAACAUAAUAAUAAUAAUAAUAGUAAUAAUAAAAUGAAAAUAGGUGGUGGCAGCUCCCACUUCAUCUUUAUUUUUUAUUUCAGAGGCACUUAUAAACCAGGAGAAUUAUGUGGAAAAGGAGUCCCCCGAUAUAACCCAAGACUCAGGAAAUUCUUGCUCCUCUUGGCAGGGAUGCAGCUGAAAUUUACCUUUAGUUAGCAUACUCCUCAGAUAGGGCAAAUGAAUUGUGCAAAGAUCAAAAUGGGGCUUUUUUUUUUUUUUUUUUU
rnacentral:lncRNA from 1 species